rnacentral:rRNA from 1 species
UACGGAGGAUGCGAGCGUUAUCCGGAUUUAUUGGGUUUAAAGGGUGCGUAGGCGGAUCGUUAAGUCAGUGGUCAAAUUGAGGGGCUCAACCCCUUCCCGCCAUUGAAACUGGCGAUCUUGAGUGGAAGAGAAGUAUGCGGAAUGCGUGGUGUAGCGGUGAAAUGCAUAGAUAUCACGCAGAACUCCGAUUGCGAAGGCAGCGUACCGGCGCCCAACUGACGCUGAAGCACGAAGGCGUGGGUAUCGAACAGG